rnacentral:rRNA from 1 species
GUCUAUGGCCAUGCCACCCUGAACGUGCCCGAUCUCAUCUGAUCUCAGAAGCUAAGCAGAGUCAGGCCUGGUUAGUACUUGGAUGGGAGACCACCUGGGAAGACCAGGUGCUGUAAGCG